rnacentral:lncRNA from 1 species
CUCAACACUGCUCCAGAUUGUACGUGAUCUGCAAGGGGCAGACAAAUAUCUAGAUCCCAGACCCCUUGGUGGGAGCUGCACGUCAAGGGAAGACAAGCAGCUGGAGAGACCUGAGCACCAAGCUAAAUCCAGAUGUGGAAGAGAGAUUCACAGAUGCAGUUCCCCUAGAUUGAGGGGCUCCAUUUUGUUUGACCACUGACCUCUGUAAAGGUUUGGGAGUGUUAAUAGUCAGCUGGCUCUCCAAGCUCAGUCUUUCACUCUUGUUAACAGAGCGGGCAGCAAUUAAUAACUCAAAUUUGUGGAGGAACCACCUUAUCCGGUGCCUCUGAGUUCAGUUCAACAAGGGUAUACCCUCCUCACUACCAGAUUAAUGUGUUCUGAUCAAGGCAGAGCAACUGGUGAGCAAGUCAUGAAGACAGUAAGUUAAUGCACAGAGGAAAGUCAUGAUUCAAGCAGAGCACAGCUCCAGAGAUCUGAAAUCGCUCACCAUAACGACACGAAAUGUACAGCAAAUCUGAAAUGGAAACCCAAGGAAAGUCUUGCAAAGCCCUUUGCAACUCUAUAGUUGUUGAUGUUUGUUGCAAUGAAACUGUACAGAACAAAACAAACUUCAGCAGGACAUCAGGAUCCUCUCCUGAGCAACAGUGUUCCCGCUGGGUACAUCAUGACAGCAAGUCAGGAGACAGACGCUAUGGCCUGCCAUUUGCUGUGGAUUUCAGGCAGAGGAAUAACCUGCGGACAGGGGAACCCAGUUUGCCCAGUCCAUCGAUUGGGUGGUGAACCGUAAGAAUAGUAUUUUCAAUUUUCAAACAUACACACAAUAUGAUACCUAAAUUGUAGAGGGAAGAAUUAAACUAAUACACGUGUGUUAAAAAUAUUCAACAAAAUAUUCAACAGAGGGGCUCUGAAGAUACAGGCAUUUAAUCACUACACAGCUUAAGAAUUUUAAGGUGCUAAACUCAGGCCUCUCAAAGACACAUAAUACAAUUCAAUUCAAUCCAACAUAACAUUGAGUGGUUAUUAUGUGCCAGAAAUUGGAUCCAGGGGAAUUUUGUCAGUAUCUUCAAAACCACGCCCAGUGCCUGGUAUGCGGUAUAUGCACCAUAAAUGCUUCUGAAUGAAUGAAGAAUGAAUGAAUAAAACUGCAUGGCCCACUCAAGG